CCUACGGGUGGCAGCAGUGGGGAAUAUUGGGCAAUGGGCGCAAGCCUGACCCAGCAACGCCGCGUGAAGGAAGAAGGCUUUCGGGUUGUAAACUUCCUUUAAGAGGGAAGAGCAGAAGACGGUACCUCUUGAAUAAGCCACGGCUAACUACGUGCCAGCAGCCGCGGUAAUACGUAGGUGGCAAGCGUUGUCCGGAUUUACUGGGUGUAAAGGGCGUGCAGCCGGGAAGACAAGUCAGAUGUGAAAUCCCGAGGCUCAACCGCGGAGCUGCAUUUGACACUGUUUUUCUUGAGUACCGGAGAGGUCAUCGGAAUGCCUUGUGUAGCGGUGAAAUGCGUAGAUAUAAGGAAGAACACCAGUGGCGAAGGCAGAUGACUGGACGGCAACUGACGGUGGGGCGCGAAAGCGUGGGGAGCGAACAGGAUUAGAUACCCCAGUAGUC
rnacentral:rRNA from 1 species